UACGAAGGGGGCUAGCGUUGUUCGGAGUUACUGGGCGUAAAGGGCGCGUAGGCGGCGCAUCAAGUCAGGCGUGAAAGCCCUGGGCUCAACCCGGGGAAUUGCGCUUGAGACUGGUGUGCUUGAGUACGGGAGAGGAUAGUGGAAUUCCCAGUGUAGAGGUGAAAUUCGUAGAUAUUGGGAAGAACACCGGUGGCGAAGGCGGCUAUCUGGACCGUAACUGACGCUGAGGCCGCGAAAGCGUGGGGAGCAAACAGG
rnacentral:rRNA from 1 species